UAGGGAAUCUUCCACAAUGGACGCAAGUCUGAUGGAGCAACGCCGCGUGAGUGAAGAAGGUUUUCGGAUCGUAAAGCUCUGUUGUUGGUGAAGAAGGAUAGAGGCAGUAACUGGUCUUUAUUUGACGGUAAUCAACAGAAAGUCACGGCUAACUACGUGCCAGCCGCCGCGUUAAUACGUAGGUGGCAAGCGUUGUCCGGAUUUAUUGGGCGUAAAGCGAGCGCAGGCGGAAUGAUAAGUCUGAUGUGAAAGCCCACGGCGCAACCGUGGAACUGCAUCGGAAACUGGCAUUCUUGAGUGCAGAAGAGGAGAGUGGAAUUCCAUGUGUAGCGGUGGAAUGCGUAGAUAUAUGGAAGAACACCAGUGGCGAAGGCGGCUCUCUGGUCUGCAACUGACGCUGAGGAUCGAAAGCAUGGGUAGCGAACAGG
rnacentral:rRNA from 1 species